UACGUAGGGGGCUAGCGUUGUCCGGAUUUAUUGGGCGUAAAGAGCGUGUAGGCGGCCAGGUAGGUCUGCUGUGAAAACUCGAGGCUCAACCUCGAGACGUCGGCGGAAACCAUCUGGCUAGAGUCCGGAAGAGGAGAGUGGAAUUCCUGGUGUAGCGGUGAAAUGCGCAGAUAUCAGGAAGAACACCCGUGGCGAAGGCGGCUCUCUGGGACGGGACUGACGCUGAGACGCGAAAGCGUGGGGAGCGAACAGG
rnacentral:rRNA from 1 species